GACGAACGCUGGCGGCGUGCUUAACACAUGCAAGUCGAACGGAAAGGCCCUGCUUUUGUGGGUUGCUCGAGUGGCGAACGGGUGAGUAACACGUGAGUAACCUGCCCUUGACUUUGGGAUAACUUCAGGAAACUGGGGCUAAUACCGGAUAGGAGCUCCUGCUGCAUGGUGGGGGUUGGAAAGAUUCGGCGGUUGGGGAUGGACUCGCGGCUUAUCAGCUUGUUGGUGGGGUAGUGGCUUACCAAGGCUUUGACGGGUAGCCGGCCUGAGAGGGUGACCGGCCACAUUGGGACUGAGAUACGGCCCAGACUCCUACGGGAGGCAGCAGUGGGGAAUAUUGCACAAUGGGCGGAAGCCUGAUGCAGCAACGCCGCGUGCGGGAUGACGGCCUUCGGGUUGUAAACCGCUUUCGCCUGUGACGAAGCGUGAGUGACGGUAAUGGGUAAAGAAGCACCGGCUAACUACGUG
rnacentral:rRNA from 1 species